rnacentral:rRNA from 1 species
UGCCAGCCGCCGCGGUAAUACGAGGGGUCCUAGCGUUGUUCGGAAUUAUUGGGCGUAAAGCGGGUGUAGGCGGACUGAUUAGUCAGAAGUGAAAGCCCCGGGCUCAACCCGGGAAGUGCUUUUGAUACUGUCAGUCUUGAGUGUGGGAGAGGGUAGUGGAAUUCCUGGUGUAGAGGUGAAAUUCGUAGAUAUUCGGAGGAACACCAGUGGCGAAGGCGGCUCACUGGCUCGAUACUGACGCUGAGGUACGAAAGUGUGGGGAGCAAACAGGAUUAGAUA